GACGAACGCUGGCGGCGUGCCUAAUACAUGCAAGUCGAACGAGAGCAACCGGUGCUUGCACUGGUCAAUCUAGUGGCGAACGGGUGAGUAACACGUGGGUAACCUGCUCAUCAGAGGGGGAUCACAUCCGGAAACGGAUGCUAAAACCGCAUAGGUCUUCGAACCGCAGGGUUUGAAGAGGAAAAGAGGCGCAAGCUUCUGCUGUUGGGGGGACCCGCGGUGCAUUAGCUGGUUGGUGGGGUAACGGCUCACCCAGGCCGUGAUGCAGAGCCGACGUGAGAGAGUGAUCGGCCACAUUAGGACUGUGACACGGCCCAAACGCCUGCGGGAGGCAGCAGUAGGGUAUCUGCGGCAAUGGUCGCAAGUCUGACGGAGCAACGCGGCGUGAGUGAAGAAGGUGUUCGGAGCGUAAAACUCUGUUGUGAGAGAUGAACCAGUGCUAGAGUAACUGUUAGCUCCUUGACGGUAACUAACCAGAAAGCCACGGCUAACUACGUG
rnacentral:rRNA from 1 species